GACAUCACACACAGCAGACGCACCAAGCCACCAGCAAAUUCACCCAGCAGCUCCACCUUAGUUUCACCUGAAAACACAGAGACAAAGAAAGAAACCAGCAGACCAGGCAGGACCAGGGGCAAACAACAACAGAUGUGCACGCAGUACACACA